CGUAGGUGGCAAGCGUUGUCCGGAUUUAUUGGGCGUAAAGGGAGCGCAGGCGGUGAUUUAAGUCUGAUGUGAAAGCCCACGGCUCAACCGUGGAAGGUCAUUGGAAACUGGAUCACUUGAGUGCAGAAGAGGAAAGUGGAAUUCCAUGUGUAGCGGUGAAAUGCGUAGAUAUAUGGAGGAACACCAGUGGCGAAGGCGACUUUCUGGUCUGUAACUGACGCUGAGGCCCGAAAGCAUGGGGAGCAAACAGGAUU
rnacentral:rRNA from 1 species